GAGAGGUAGUCAAGCGGUCGAAGACGGCGGUUUGCUAAACCGUUGUAGGGCCAAAAGCUCUACCGUGGGUUCAAAUCCCACCCUCUCC
rnacentral:tRNA from 1 species